UUAAGUGCCGGUGUUAGUGUUUUUUAUCGUGUAUUUAGUUAUUUAUAUAUAUAAUACAUUAUUUUUUAUUUAUUUAAAUAAAUUUACGGGGAUAAAUAAUGAAGAUUACUUCACGUGUUGUCGUUGCAUGCAUACUGGGGUGGGUUUCGGUAAGUUGCUUAUCAUUUAAUAUUAAAUAAAAAUUAACAAUUUCAGACAGAAGCAGUACAAUGUUAUUCAGGAAAUUGGUCUCUAAUAUAUUACAAUAAAAAUAAGUUUUAAUAUAAAAAAUAAAUAAAAAAUUCCGGAGGGAUUUAUUGAAAUCUACGAAAACUUACCUUCGCUGUAGAAAAUUAAAGAUAACGAUUACCAUAAAAGAAGUUUAAAAAUUGAAGGGAAAUUAAAAGAAAUUUACCCCGAUGCAAAUAUUGAACUGGUAAAAAGGAAAAUUAAUAACUUGCAAAGUGGUUAUCGGAGAGAGUUGAAAAACACAAAGCGAGAGGUCUGGCGCAAGUGUGUUGUCAUCCCUCUGAUAUUUUGACGAUUUGGGAUUUGCAAAAGAUCAAGAGUCUCCAUUUGCAGCAGUGACGUCAGUUUAUGAAGUGUUAGACGAAAGUUUUAUAGAGGAACAGUCGGGUCUUAGCCGUUAAAAACGACAACAACAAGAGGAUGCGACAAAUUUAAGGUUGGGCAACACAAUUUCGUAAGUUGAAUUCCAACCAAAAAAUUUAUGCUAAUAAGAUGAUAAAUGAAGUGCUCUACCAGGGAUUUGGAUUUGUACUCUUAUAAAGUUAUAUGAGCUUGCGGAACAUCAUUUAUCACAAUCAUUUUCGCCAAGCUUUGCAUCUUCAUCAAUUAAUGCUCCAUCACCUCCUUUUUUUACUUCACAAAAGCAACAUCAAACAUCUAUUUACCAUCUAUAUCUCCUGUUCACCCAUCGCUAUAUAUUGGUGUAUAAAAACAACAGAAGUACUGUAGCGUUUAAAAUCUCUUGAUAGAU